UUGACAUCCAGCGAACUUGGCAGAGAUGCCUUGGUGCCUUCGGGAACGCUGAGACAGGUGCUGCAUGGCUGUCGUCAGCUCGUGUUGUGAAAUGUUGGGUUAAGUCCGCAACGAGCGCAACCCUUAUCCUUUGUUGCCAGCGAUUCGGUCGGGAACUCAAAGGAGACUGCCGGUGAUAAACCGGAGGAAGGUGGGGAUGACGUCAAGUCAUCAUGGCCCUUACGAGUAGGGCUACACACGUGCUACAAUGGCGCAUACAAAGAGAAGCGACCUCGCGAGAGCAAGCGGACCUCAUAAAGUGCGUCGUAGUCCGGAUCGGAGUCUGCAACUCGACUCCGUGAAGUCGGAAUCGCUAGUAAUCGUGGAUCAGAAUGCCACGGUGAAUACGUUCCCGGGCCUUGUACACACCGCCCGUCACACCAUGGGAGUGGGUUGCAAAAGAAGUAGGUAGCUUAACCUUCGGGAGGGCGCUUACCACUUUGUGAUUCAUGACUGGGGUGAAGUCGUAACAAGGUAGGCGUAGACGU
rnacentral:rRNA from 1 species